UCCCAUAGAUUGCUUCGCCGACGAUCUGGCAUGCACAGAAGAGCCUCUGUAGUUAUAUGGGAAGCCUUGCCGCUAGACCAGAAUCCACUGCGCGCUGCAGCGGCAGCGAGCAGAAGGCAGAAUGGCGGCCUGCGGUGCGCGUACUGACAGUGCGGCUGUGGUUUUUUUCAACAUCCGUGUGGGAUGACAGCGCGAGUGAGGACGCCUGCUUGAAGCGAUUUGCAACUUUACAUGUGUAUACGAUGUGAAACGCAUGGACUACCGCGACACAGAGCGCAAGAGCAACGCGUGGGAAGCUAUACGAAAGCAGUGUGGUCUCGCCACAGGUGCUCAUCAUCGCACUGAUCGGCGCAGCUCUGCCCGCUACCAUCUCGGCUGUCCCACAAGCGACUUCAAUCUGCCUGGAACCGUGCCUUGGCCGUACCCCUGCUGUCUAUCGCCGAGUCGCGCUAGCGCCCCCUACGCUUCUACUAGCGCCGCCUGUGACGAGCGUUAUGAGCCCUACCACCAGGGAGCUGCCUGCGUCAGCAACAUCUGGCAGAUCGCCUAUAAAGGACCAACGCCUUCACGCGCCAACCUGUGGGCUCGGUGGCUGUGCCACGAUACAGUCUACUAAACUGCUGCUGUUUAACAUGCAGCAUCCCCGUCACCUGGAAGGAAGGGCAGGUCGUUCCAAUCUACAAAUCAGGUAAUAAAAACUCGCCUCUUAACUACAGACCGAUUUCCCUAACCAGCGUACCCUGCAAGAUAAUGGAGCACGUCAUUUUCACCCAAAUUAUGCACUUCCUUGACACUAACAACUACUUUCACCCAUCCCAACAUGGUUUUCGUAAAGGUCUCUCGUGCGAAACGCAACUUGCUAUGUUCGUCCAUGACUUACACGUUAAUCUUGAUGCUAACACCCAAAUCGAUGCCAUUUUUCUGGAUUAUGCUAAAGCAUUUGAUAAGUUACCUCACCAACGCCUAAUACUCAAGCUCUCCCAGCUGAACCUGCACCCUGACGUCUUAAAUUGGGUUAUUGAAUUUCUCACUAACCGAUCACAGUCAGUGCAUGUCAAGAAUCGCACCUCCGCACCCCUCCCUGUAACUUCUGGCGUCCCACAAGGUACCCCCAACUUUUUCUUAUUUAUAUUAACGACCUCCCCCUUAAUGUUUCCUCUCAAAUCCGUAUGUUCGCUGACGAUUGCGUCAUGUAGCGCACAAUUACUAAUGACUCUGACCACAACAUUUUACAAAAUGAUCUUAACAAAGUGCAAGGCUGGUGCAACGACUGGUUAAUGACCCUUAACGCCAAUAAAUGUAAAGUAAUGUGCUUCACUCGCCGCCAUCAGCCCUUAUACUCACCGUAUAAUAUUACUAAUACUACCUUAGAAAAAGUGGACACAUUUAAAUACCUCGGCGUCACCUUUUCAUACGACUUAGACUGGUCUGCUCAUGUAACGCGCAUUACUGCACCCGCUAACCAAACACUAGGAUUCCUAAAACGCCAUCUGCGUCAUGCACCGCAACACGUCAAACUGCUAGCAUUCAAGACGCUCGUACGUCCGAAAAUUGAAUACGCAUCUCCCAUCUGGUCACCACAUCAAACUUACCUUAUCAAUGCACUUGAACGAAUUCAGAAUCGUGCAGCAAGAUUCAUUCAUUCUUCGUAUUCUUAUAACACUAGCGUAUCACUACUUAAAGCACAGUCGGCCUUAAACACGCUAUCAUCCCGGCGUCGCAUUGAUUCGUUAAUCCUCUUUCACAAGUUCUAUUACAGUUCGCUCCAUCAUGCACCAUAUGUGCUGGCCCCACCCCCUCGCCACUCCCUGCGUACAGGGCAUUCCUUGCAAGUAACCCGACCACGCAGCCGAACUACAACCUUCUCUGCAUCCUUGUUUUGCCGAUCAUCAAGCGACUGGAACGGCCUGCCCCGUCACAUAACCGAAAUCACCUGUUCAACGACGUUUGCUGAUAAGCUUAAUACUAAUAUUCUUCAUUGAACUCAUGUGGCCACCAAUUAAAAUGCACAUUUGUAAACCCCACCCCUUAUGUAAUACCCCCACUGAGGGGUCUUUAAGGAAAUAAAAGUGAAGUGAAG